rnacentral:rRNA from 1 species
UACGGAGGAUGCAAGCGUUAUCCGGAUUCAUUGGGUUUAAAGGGUGCGUAGGCGGGCUAUUAAGUCGGCGGUGAAAUUCUGCAGCUCAACUGUAAAAGUGCCUUCGAAACUGGUUUCCUUGAGUGUAGAUGAAGUAGGCGGAAUUUGUGGUGUAGCGGUGAAAUGCAUAGAUAUCACGAGGAACUCCGAUUGCGCAGGCAGCUUACUAAACUACUACUGACGCUCAGGCACGAAGGCGUGGGGAUCAAACAGGAUUAGAUACCCCU